GCCCUCGUGGCGGAAUUGGCUAUACGCGCAGCGUUCAGAACGCUGUCCCGCAAGGGUUAGAGGUUCAAAUCCUCUCGAGGGCACCA
rnacentral:tRNA from 2 species